UUGUCUACCAAAAGUAAGAAAUGAAGAGAGCAUCUAAAUUUAGUCCCGCCAGGCCCAGCACUCCUUCUCCUACUUUAUUCAUUUUUUCCUUUCCUUUUUCCUAUCGGAUUCGUGUUUUUGUUCAACUUACGUGAUAGUUCAAUCAAAUGAGGCGCCAUGAAUGAUAUUGAUCAUCAUUGCUAUAGAAAACACAUCUAGUACUGAAUGUCUUCUUUUCCUCUGUGAGUUUCGUGCUAACCAUUUCCCAGACGAAACAUCAACUAAGUAGCAGACAAAAAAAUGAGAUUUCUGUUUCGAACGAUGGAAGCAAAUAAUAAAGAUUCUUCGAGAAUUAUGGACCAUUCAUUGUAAGAAGUUUUCCUUCACGGGUUGGAACAAGGAUCGGAAUUCAGUGUUGACAAUGUGCGAGAAGGCAACAAGUGAAACUUUUAAAAACGGGAAAUGUCUUACCCUGGCCAGGUGUAGACACCCGAAACUUCGAAACCAUAGUUCCAGGAGCCGGAAUAUUCCCCUUGGCCUUUGAGGCCAGUGCAGACGCCGUGUCCGUGGGCUUUACCAUCCUCCCAACCGCCGCAGUACAUUCCACCGUCAUCGAAAUCGAACCGGCCACCUUGCACCGGUUUUUGCGGGCUGCUACUCAUGCUGCCACCGAUUCCACUCAUUGUACUGCCGCUGGCCGCGCCUGUCGUCACGUUCGACUGCAUUUCGGCCUAUUGGCACCACCGCCCCUGUUUGAAAACGAGAUCAAUUAAUUGCAGUCGUUAACCUACGACAACUGUUUUAACUUGUUGCCAAUUUCGAGUUCAACGGUUUGAAAGCUUACGCGAAUUACGAGUCGAAAGAAACUUAAUCCAAUGCGGAAAGCCAAACAGUCAAAAACAAAAAUAAAUAAAAAGGGGAAACGUGAUGCAACAAAAAAGAAAUCAAACGGAGAUGAGGGGAGGAGAAGAAGUAGAGAAAGAAACGGAGUAGGAGGAGAAUCUGGAAUCCAUCCAGUCAUAAAGUUAACAACACGAAUGAUGAAUGACGCUCUCGGCUUUUUGCUCUCUUUUCUCCUCCUUUGCAACACCCAAUCCACCACCCUCCCCCGAAAUUCCCGCAAAGAACAAGAAGAGAAGGAGGAGUAGGUCGGGAUGGCUUGCCAAAUUCCGCAUCUUCUUCUUACUUUUAUUUCGUUUUUUUUCUUUUUGGCUGCAAGACUCUUGUAUGUGUGAUGUUCAUUCCAUCUUGUUUGAUAUUU